AAGUCGUAACAAGGUUUCCGUAGGUGAACCUGCGGAAGGAUCAUUAAUGAAUUAAGAGGGCUGUUGCUGGCUUCAUUGAGGCAUGUGCACGCCUUUUCAUCUUCAAUACACCUGUGCACCUUCUGUAGGCUGGGUUCAAAAGAAACCAGUCUAUGUUUUUUUAAUACACACAAAAAGUCUAGAAUGUCAUUUUAUGAGUGUGCCAUACAAAGCAUACUUUUAAUAUCAUACAACUUUCAACAACGGAUCUCUUGGCUCUC
rnacentral:misc_RNA from 1 species